CGUUUUGACAUACAAGCUCUAUUUGUGUUGUUUACUUAAAAUCUUCAUCUCGGUAAAAAAAAAAUCAAUUUAAAUCGCUAACAUUUUCGCACAUUUAUUUUUUACUACUUUUGACUUGGAUUAAGAGUGCUUUGUUGAACUUAAAUAAAUUUUUGACGGAGAAGCUCCAUCCAGGACCAGUGUUUAUCGAUUGUAUUGUACAUUUGAUCGAGGUUGACGAUCCCUAAAAGACGAAAUUCGUGAAGGUCGUUCAAAAUGAAUUGUUGUUUCGGAAGUUAUUUAUGCUGUGCGCAAACUGAUACUGCAAGAUUGUCAUGUGACCUAUCGUGAGAUUGAGAUAACUAUAGAAAUAAGUGGGACCAGCAUAAAUUCAAUAUUGCAUGCAGAUUUGACUAUAAAAUAAAUUUGUUCACGUUGGAUUCCACACUAUUUGUCAUUAUACAUGAAUCGUAGAUUUACGCGUAUGAGCCCCAAAGUUAACAGCAGUCGACUGUAUGGCUGUUUCAAGAAGAGCCGAGUGCAACAGAAGUUGUUCGCGCACGAAGUACUUCCAGUAAAUGGUUUGCCUGUUUUUUUUUUUUUUUGGAAAAACUGGGCAUGGCUCAAUCAUACUACUAGAACAACGCUGAACAGUAAAUUCUGAGUGGUAGUCAACCAUUUGUUUGCCAGUUGUCAUUCAAGAAAUCACGAAAACCAACAACCGAAGACUGAUAAAGACUUCACCACGACAAUGCGAGCUCUCACACAUUGACUAAAAGAACUGCAUUUUUGAUCACUCAAAACAUUGAUUUGAUUUGAUGAGUCAUCCACCAUAUAGUCCUGACUUCGCACCAAAUGACAUCCUUUUAUUUCGUAAAAAAUAAACUAAGAGGUCAACGUUUUUCCAUACCCGAAGAGGCGAUUAAUAUACGUUCAGAACGCAUUAAUUGCUCAGAAAUGAGAGAAUUGAAUCUCUGUGGUAGAUAAAAAUGUCGAAAAAAAUGUGCUUAUUGCUGUAUUUUUUACUCAUCUAAAUACCUCGCGCGUUCUGCGUUAAAAUCUGAAAAACUCGUAAAACACGCACCUGAAAUGAAUACAAUGAAUGACUUCCGUGAAGACAGUGGCUGGGUAUACAUAUGAGAGUAUAUCUAUGUGGUUCAACAAGCGAAAUAAAUCAGAAUCAUAAAAUUUGCAUGCUACUUCAAUUACCUUGUACUUGUGAAAAAAGAACAAGAUAUGCGGGUUACAGGUUUGCGGGUGUCACGUGUUAUAUACGCAUUUGCAUUUACCAAAAAUUUUUGCCAAUCAUUCAGUCACGUUAAGCAACACACAGACUCACCUUGGCGAUAUUUUGCUGCCAUCGCCGCCGCCGCUGUUAUUGUUCGAUGACGAGUUGGCUUUGUAGCCGAACUUCUGUAUGCGCUUGGAGAGGCGUGUCACCCACAGAUGCUGCUCGUCAGGCGUGCCGGCCAGCAGCAGCAUUUCUUUGGCAGUAUGGGGAUCGUGAUGCAGCUUGCACGGCACCAGCAGAUCGUUAUUGUCUACAUGCUCCUUGUGGAUUUUAUUGCGGCAACUGAAAUAAAAAAGAUUUGUAAAAUAAAUAUUAGAUAAAGAUAUAUUGCAUUAUCGUCAGUAGUUUCGUAAUCGAAAACAAAAACAAAAAAUUUAAAUAAAAAAUAUGGUUAUUAUGGCGAAAAAAUAAA